rnacentral:rRNA from 1 species
UACGUAGGGGGCUAGCGUUGUCCGGAAUCAUUGGGCGUAAAGCGCGUGUAGGCGGUCCGGUAAGUCCGCUGUGAAAGUCGAGGGCUCAACCCUCGAAUGCCGGUGGAUACUGUCGGGCUUGAGUACGGGAGAGGCGAGUGGAAUUCCUGGUGUAGCGGUGGAAUGCGCAGAUAUCAGGAGGAACACCCAUAGCGAAGGCAGCUUGCUGGGACGUUACUGACGCUAAGGCGCGAAAGCGUGGGGAGCGAACAGG